ACUUAUUAAGGCAGAGAUUAUUCCCAUUGACAGCCAGAGAAGCUGAAGGUCAUGGAGUUUAAAUGACUUGUCCUGAUCACAAGACGAGAGUGUGGUGAAUGAAACUAAGUCUACUCUGGGACUUUUCCUACACUGCCUCGUUUCCUGGUUUCAGGGAACAAGUGUUGUUGCCUACCACACCAUGAAUUCCAGCCCUGGGAAAUGAAUUUGAAGGAAAUGAUUCCAAAGAAGCAAAAAACUGCGUGCUUGAAAAUGUUCACUGCUACUCAAAAUUGGGAACUGAACACAGAGGAAAUUUCACUAUUAGAGGACCAGUUGAACAAAAAGUAGUAAAUCUGUAUGCAAAUGUA